AACGAACGCUGGCGGCAUGCCUAACACAUGCAAGUCGAACGAGACCUUCGGGUCUAGUGGCGCACGGGUGCGUAACACGUGGGAACCUGCCCUUAGGUUCGGAAUAACUCCCCGAAAGGGGUGCUCAUACCGCAUAAUCUCUUCGGACCAAAGAUUUAUCGCCGUUGGAUGGGCCCGGGUUGGAUUAGCUGGUUGGUAGGGUAAAAGCAUACCAAGGCGACGAUGCAGAGCUGGUCGGAGAGGAUGAUCAGCAACACUGGGACUGAGACACGGCCCAGACUCCUACGCGAGGCAGCAGUGGAGUAUAUUGGACGAUGGGCGAUAGCCUGAUCCAGCAGUGCCGCGUGAGUGAUGAAGGGCGUAGGGUUGUAAAGCUCUUUUACCCGGGAUGAUAAUGACGGUACCGGGAGAAGAAGCACCGGCUAACUACGUG
rnacentral:rRNA from 1 species